UGGGGAAUUUUGCACAAUGGAGGAAACUCUGAUGCAGCGACGCCGCGUGAGUGAUGAAGAUCUUCGGAUUGUAAAACUCUGUCCUUAGUGAAGAUAAUGACAGUAACUAAGAAGCAAGCCCUGGCUAAAUACGUGCCAGCAGCCGCGGUAAUACGUAUGGGGCAAGCGUUGUCCGGAAUUAUUGGGCGUAAAGGGUACGUAGGCGGUUUAAUAAGUCCUAAUUAAAAGGCUAUGGCUCAACCAUAGUAUGGUUAGGAAACUGUUGAACUUGAUGAGAUGAGGGGAAAGUGGAAUUCCAUGUGUAGCGGUGAAAUGCGUAGAUAUAUGGAGGAACACCAAUGGCGAAGGCAACUUUCUGGAAUCAAACUGACGCUGAGGUACGAAGGCGUGGGGAGCAAACAGG
rnacentral:rRNA from 1 species